GUCCAGAACUAGUUAGGAGUUCAGCUGUUUGGAAACAGGCUGCUAAACUCGUUCUCAUUCUGCGCUUCUAACUUAAACCUCCAAGGUGAGGUCCCAGAAGACUGAAAGGUAGCGAAUGUUGUGCCAUUAUUCAAGAAGGGUGGCAAAGAAAUGUCUGGGAACUACAGACCAAUAAGCUUAACAUCAGUGGUUGGAAGAAGGAAAACACCCAAGUGGUCAGAGAUGAGCAGUGACCUUCACAUCAAAGGGCAAUGCUGCCUGCUCAAACAGUGAUGCCAGAAAGCAAAGAGCAGAAGAGCUGUGGCAGUUCCCACCCUCCUAAAUGCCUCUGAGACGUGCAUUGGCUAUAACAGACACCUCAAGGCACUGGAGCAGUACUACCAAUGCUGCCUGCACAAGAUCCUGCAAAUCUGCUGGGAAAAAAGAUGCAUCGCCACCACCAUCCUCGACUAGGCCAACAUAGAGGUGCUGACCACCACUGAUCGGCUACGAUGAGCUGGGCACAUUAUCCACUUGUCCAACACAAGACUCCCUAAGCAGGUGCUCUACUCCUAGCUUUGAAUGGCAGGUGAGCCCAUGUGAACAAAGGAAGUGCUUCAGUGAUACCUUCAAGGCAUCUGGGAAUCACUGGCCCAAGACUGUCCAAAGUGGAGGAGGAACAUCUCGGAAGGUGUCAGCAACUUGAGACAUGUCAUCAGAAAAAAAAACGGAAGCCAGGUGAAAACAGCAAAAGAAGUGCACUGCCACACCAUUGCCCCACUACCCCUUUUCCUGACCACCUUCUGCCCCGUGGCAGAUCCUGUGGUAACCACAUCAGUGUGUCCAGCCACCUACAGACUCACCAUGAGAGUGGAGGAGAGUCAUCUUUGUCGGCAAGGGGCUAGUAAUGAUGAUAAGAAAAAUGCUUGUUUUAUCAUGCUGACAUUGUCAGCAACUUUGAAGAAUAAUAGUCAUUUCUUCGAUAACAUUUCAUCUAUAACAAGAUAGUUCUGCUCCUGCAUUAUAGCCAACACAAGUUUGGCAAGUUCGCAUUUUAGAAGCACCAUUCCCAAUUCACCAAACAUGAUCCAGCCAAUUUGUGUGAAUGAAAUACAUGUUGUCACGGAACUGACUGUAAAAUGGUUAGUUUUGCUGAAUCUCUUAGAUGCAUGGGUGCAUUGUAAAUAUAUAUUGCAUAUCAUCCAUGCUGACUAGAAAGUUUCAAACUCAUCUUCAUUAAUGAGUAUCUUUCAUCAGCAUAACAGCAUAAGAACUAAGAGCAGGAGUAGGGCCAUCUGGUCCUUGGAGCUCGCUCUGCCAGUCGGUAUGAUUAGAUUAGAUUACUUACAGUGUGGAAACUCGGCCCAACAAGUCCACACUGACCCUCCGAAGAACAACCCACCCAGACCCAUUCCCCUACAUUUACCCCUUCACCUAACAUUAUGGGCAAUUAAGCAUGGCCAAUUCACCUAACCUGCACACUUUUGUACUGUAGGAGGAAACCGGAGCACCGGGAGGAAACCUACGCAGACACGGGGAGAAUGUGCAAACUCCACACAGACAGUUGUGUGAGGCAGGAAUUAAACCCGCGUCUCUGGCUCUGUGAGGCAGCAGUGCUAACCAUUGUGCCACUGUGCCACCUGUGCCACCCAUAUUCAUACCUCAUCUUUUCAUGGCUUCAACUCCACUUACCUGCCCUCUCUCCAUAACCCUUAAUUCCUUUACUGUUCAAAAAAGUACCUAUCUUAGCUUUAAAAACUUUACUGAGGAAGCCUCACCUACUUCACUGGGCAGGAAAUUCCAGAGAAUCACAAUGCUUUGGAUGAAGAAGUUCCUUCCCAAUUCAUGCCUUCAUCUGCUCCCCCUAAUUUUGAGGCUAUGCCCUCUUGUCCUUGUUUCACCUGCCAGCGGAAACAUCCUCUCUACCUCGUUUUCCCUUCAUAAUUCUAUAUUUGUAUAAGAUCUCCCCACAUUCUUCUGAAUUCAAAUGAAUAUAAUCUUAGUCUACUCAGUCUCCCCUUGUAAGCCAACCCUCUCAACUCUGGAAUCAACCUGGUGAAAUUCCUCUGCACCCCUUCCAGUGCCAGUAUAUCCUUUCUCAAGGAUGCAGUACUCCAGGUGUGGCCUUACCUGUUUUUAAACUCAAUCCUUUAGCAAUGAAGGACAAAGUUCCAUUUGCCUUUUCAAUUACCUGUUGCACCUAUAGACCAAAUUUCUGUGAUUCAUGCACAAGGACACAUAGAUUCCUCUGCAAAGCAGCAUGCUGUAUCUUUUUUAACCAUUCAAAUAAUUGUCCUUUUUACUGUUAUUCCUAACAAAAUGAAUGACUUCACAUUUAUUAAUAUUGUAAUCCAUUUGCCAAACCUUUGCCUACUCACUUAAAGUAUUAUGUCCCUCUGCAAAGUUUUACAGUCCUCUGCACACUUCCACUACCACUCAUCUAAGUGUCAUCCACAAAUUUUGACAUACUGCACGUGGUCCCCAACUCCAAACCAUCUCUGUAAAUUGUGAAUUAUUGCAGUCCCAACACUGAUUCUUGAGGCACACCACAAUCACUGAUUGCCAACCAGAAAAAACAUUCAUUUAUUUCCACUCUUUGUUUCCUGUUAGUUAACCAAUUCUCUGUCCAUGCUAAUACAUUACUCAUAACGCCAUGCAUCUUUAUCUAAUGGAACAGCCUUCUGCACUUUGUUGAAUGCCUUUUGAAAAUCUAGAUUACAUCACAUCCACUGGGUCCCUGUUGUCCACUGUAAUCAUGAUGUCUUCAUAGAAUUCCAGUAGAUUAGUUAAGCAUGACCUGCUUCUCAUGAACCCAUGCUUCUCAUGAACCCAAUGGAACAAUUUCUAUCUAAAAAUCUUGCUAUUUCUUCCUUGAUAGCAGCAAUGUUCUAAAUGUUUUAUGAUGUGGAGAUGCUGGUGUUGGACUGGGGUGGACAAAAUUAAAAAUCACCCAACACCAGGUUAUGGUCCAACAGCUUUAUUUGGAAGUUCAAGCUUCCAGAGCGCUGCUCCUUCAUCAGAUAACUGGUUGGGUAGGAUCAUAAGGCACAGAAUUUAUAGUAAAAGAUCAAAGUAACAUACAAAUGAUGAAACGUAUUGAACAAACCUAGACUAUUGUUAAGUCCUUAAUCACUUAGAAUGGGGAUUCAGGUUUUAUUGAUUAACAUGUAAAUCUCACAACUUCAUUCAAGUCACAGUCCCGAGAUAAAUUGCAGAUUUGCAUUUGCAGAUACAUUCUGUUCUGUUCAAUCUGUAGGCAGUCAGUUCAUGUGACACCUUAUACAUUCCUACAGUGGAAAUAGAAUGUGUGACAAAGCUGCUCCUUUAACAAGACACAAACUCCGAAAAGUCUAAGUUAACGUGUAUUAGGGCCUAUUUGAUUAUAGCUAACAAUUACUGCCUCAGGCAAAAAAAGCUUUUAAGGUUUAAAAAAAACACUUGUACAAUGAAAGGGGACUGACCAGUUCUCCCAGCUCAAUUUUUCUCUGGUCUAGCUUUAUACUAAAAGCAAUCAGGCAGUUGAAAAGCUGCUGAACCCCAAAGAAGCAGGUCCAUGCUGAUAUCUCUCUGACUUCUCUCCUGUAAAAACCUGUGUUUGAUUUUACCUUUUGUGCCAAAAGGUGUUUAUGGGGACUGUUGCAAGUAUUGGAACAGCAUCAUUAAGUUGGGAUCAUCUGUUGGGUUUUCAUGUAAGUUAUCAUGCUGCAUUCUGUUCUCUUUUGUUUGUGCUUCAUCCGGUAAUCUUGUAAAUAAAUUCUGUUUUGUUUAAAAUGAAGUGGGUUGGCCAGUUGCAUCUCUUCUGGAAUGUCCUCUUACACCGACUUAAAGCAACUGGCAAAGUUAAGGUCUGGGCUACUUUCUUGAAAUAUUUUGAGGGUUCUGGCCUGAUUCAUAUCAGAUUGGGGGUUUGUCUGGGAUUUGUCCUAUGGUUCCCACCAGGGAUUAGGGUUGUUGGACUCGAAGGUAGCAAGUGGUAGGUGUUAGUGUCUUUUGUCCUGGGUGUUGAUUUUGGUCAGUUUAAACAGAGUUUGAAUUAUGUUUAAAAGCAGAAGAGAGAAAAAAAAGAGAGAGGGUGUUUGAACUUCAGAAACUGUCACUCAGGCAGGAAAGAUAGCUUGAAAGGAUGAAGAUGAAGGCUGAAGGUAAGCUUAGCGAUGAAGAGAGUGAGGGUGAGCAAACCCAUGGUCACCAAAGGCCUGGUGAGAAACUGUUUAAACAUAUUCAAGCAUUGCCUACAUUUGAUGAGAAGGAUGUGGAAGCCAUUUUAAUCCUAUCAGAAAAGGUAGUUAAACAAAUGUAGUGGUCAGUGAUCAUGUAGGUUUUAUUGAUAGUAACAAACCUUAUAGAUAGAGCUAGUAAGGCAUUCACAUCACGAUCAGAUGAGGUAUCUGGGUGGAUGAGGAGAUGAAGAAAGCCAUCUUAAGUGCACAUGAGCUUGUGCCAAAGACUACAGACAAUCAUGGGUUGGUGCAACAUCGAGGGCCGAAGGGCCUGUUCUGCGCUGUAUUGUUCUAUGUUCUAUAUUUCAGGAAUCUAAGGAGGGACCCUGGUCAAACCUACACUGACUUUGAAAGGAUCAAACAAAGUAAUUUUGAUAGGUGGAGAAGGGCUUAAAAAUGAGGUACAAAAAAUUCAUUUUCUGAAGUAGUGAGAACCAAUGUGCAAGAGCAGAGAGUUUAAACAGCAAGAUUAGCAGCUGAAAUGGCUGACGAUUAUGAGUUGGUCCAUAAAUCAAAGUUUGGCUUCCAAAAUCAAUUUCUAUCUGUGAGGGAAAGAAAUUGGAGAAAAGAGAAACCUUCAUGUGGAAAGGGAAGGGUAGAUCUUGGUGAAAAUCAUGAGGAUAACUUACCACAGGGUAAAAAGGGGAAAGAUAAUUGAAGGGGAAAGAUAAUUGAAAAACCUCUAGUGUUUUCACUGCAAUGAAGUAGGCCACAUGAAAUCAUAGUGUUGGUAGGUUAGGAAAUGAAUUGGGAGGCCAGAGGUAGGAAAAUAGGAUAAGUCUGUGAAUGUUGUUAGACUGGUAAUGGAAAGCACAGUGGAGGCAUUUGGUGGCAGGAGUAAAACAGACCGAAACAAAAUGUUAUAGUGCGUGUUUGCAUGUUUAUUGUCAAUGUUAUGUAUAUGUAUGGUGUAGAGAAACUAGCAAUUUAGGAUUAAGGGGGUUUAAAAUGAAACCAUCUUUGGAUAUUGACGGUUUUGCUCCUUUAACAAGGUUAUGUUGUCCUUGGUUGUUUUUUUUCCAGAGAGGUCAUAAAAGACAAAGAUACCGAAAAGUCUAAGUUGAAGGAUUUUAGAGUCAAUUUGAUUAUUGCUAACAGAUACUGUCUCAGGCAAAAGGCUUGUAAAUGAAAGAGGGCUGGCCAGUUCUCCCAGCUCAAUUUUUCUCUGGUCUGGCUGUAGACUAAAAGCAGUCAGGCAGCUGAAAAGCUGCUGAACCCCAAAGAAGCAGGUUCGUGCUGGUAUCUCUCUGACUUCUCUCUUGUAAACACCUGUGUUUGAUUUUACCUUUUGUGCCAAAGGAUGUUUAUGGAGUUUGUUGCAAGUAUUUGGAAAAGCAUCAAUAAUUUGGGAAGAGCUGUUGGCUUUUCAGACAGUUUAAGUUAUUCUGUAUUCUGUUCUCUUCUGUUUGUGUUUCAUUUGGUAAUCUUAUAAAUAAAUUCUGUUUUAUUAAAACUAAGUGUGUUGGCCAGCUGCAUCACUCCUGGAAUUUCCACCUUACACCUGCUUAAAUAAACUAGCAAAUUUAGGGUCUGGGCUAUCUUCUUGAAAUGUCUUCAGGGUUCUAGUCUGGUCCAUAACAAACCAGUCUGACUCAAGAUUGGGACACAGAGAGACUCUAACCUUACCCCUUUAAUGCAUUGUCUGAGCUGAAAUGCCAUCUUUAUUUAUAAAACUUUAAGUUAUCUUAGGACUACGACUUGAAA